rnacentral:tRNA from 1 species
AGCAGUGUGGCCUAGUGGGUAGCGCACGGGCCUGGGAGUCAGAGGACCCGGGUUCUCAUCCCGGCUCUGCCA